UACGUAGGGUGCAAGCGUUGUCCGGAAUUAUUGGGCGUAAAGAGCUCGUAGGCGGUCUGUCGCGUCGGCUGUGAAAACCUGGGGCUUAACUCCGGGCCUGCAGCCGAUACGGGCAGACUAGAGUUCGGCAGGGGAGACUGGAAUUCCUGGUGUAGCGGUGGAAUGCGCAGAUAUCAGGAGGAACACCGGUGGCGAAGGCGGGUCUCUGGGCCGACACUGACGCUGAUGCGCGAAGGCCAGGGGAGCGAACGGG
rnacentral:rRNA from 1 species